ACUCCAAAUGUACGAAAAUAACCCUUUACAUUUUUUUUCUUUUUUUUCUUUCUUUGCCCUAGAAUCUCUCUCUCUCUUUUUCCCGCCCUCUCUCUCAACCAUGAUCUCCUUCUCACUUCACGACAUUAUCUCCUCCAGUUCUCUGUCCAUUCUCUAGUGACACCGGCACCAACGACGAAGCUCUUCUCUCCUACAAUGCGUAAGAAUUUUAAUACGUUUGCUGCUUUAAUCACUCUGAUCGCGCCAAGGGUUUCAGUGGAGGAACAAGUGCAUCCGAUUGGCAACUGAGGACCGCCAGAGCGAAUUCGCUACCAUAUAGGAAGCUACUGAGGAUGCCAAAGUUGUAGAAGACGAAGAGAAAAGUCAAACAUUGACCACGAUAAUUGAUGCUACAGUUUCUAAUUGAUUUUGAUGAAUAUCUUGGAAUGGCUUAAUUUGUUGCUCUAUCUCCAUCAAUUAUGUAUGUUGCGCUCUUCAUUUAGGUUGUGAUUUUUACUUUCAAUUAGAUGUAUUAAUCUACUUUAAGAGUUAUUAUGAUUUGAUGUGAGUCGAACUUGUUUAUGCUUUGUUUUCUUACUGUAUUGUAUAUGCUCUAUUUUCACUUUAUUGUUUAUGCUGAUUGAAUUGUAUCAUAUAUACUUGAUUGAUCUAUACUUCUGCCUUUUCAAUUUGAUGGUUUCUAGAGCUUAUUGACUAAUAACUCGUAGCUUCAAUUGUUUCAAUAAAUUGUUGCUUAGACUUUGUGAGUGAGUUAGAGAGUGAGAUGGCUACUAUGUUGUAAAACAUUAAGUACAUUCUGACUAUUUCGUUAGUGAUGAGAAAGUGAGUGUUAAUAAUCUUUAUCAUCAUUCGUUGUUGUGUUGUGCUUUAAGACUUAAUACUAUGUUCUUUAUUUCUAGGUCUUUCUUCUAUGUAUCUAUGUAAUGAUCGAUCUGUUAUACCAAAUUAAUUAUGAAGUUUCUUGAUGAUCACUGUCUAUGUCUAUAUAUAUAUUGAUAUUGCAGAAAUAGUUUUUGUAAAAACACAACUCUUUUAUAGUUUUAAUUAAGUAUCUAUAUUGUUGAUUUCCUCUGCGAUUUUGUCUUAUUGCUUUUAUAAGUUUCCAUAGUCUUUUUUUGACCAAGUAUUUUUGCAGAUUUGUUAUAAAAAAUGUAGGAGUACACUGAAGAUGACCCAAAAUUUGACAUUAUGAUUCUUGUUUCUUAUUACUGUUUGGUUAGUGAGAAUGUGAGUGUAAUUAUCGUUCUCCUUUCUUUUCUACAUAAACCUAUCAUCAUAAAUAUAUAUUAAUGGUAUUAGUAAAUUAAUAUUGAUACAGUUGUUGCUCCUGCUUAUGGUUGCAAGUGCCAUAUGUGAGGUUAUUUCAUAUGAUGCUGCUUCUAUUGAGAAAGCUAAUAUUCAGAUCAGAAGUUCUCCUGUUAACAGAUGAAAAUGUUGAUUUUUUCACCGAUUAGUUUUGCCUUUUGAUUAUUGCCUUUGAUCUUUGUUUUGGUACCCUUCUUUUAAAACAUUUUUCAUGUCAAUCACCUUAUUAUAUUCUUAAGCUAUGAGGGUUACUGGACCAAAAAUUUUAGGAGCAGACAUAGAAGAAAAACUUGGAGAUAUAAAUCAGCCUUUAAUUACUACUAUAGACUCAUUGUUGGCCUUUGAGUUACGAUAUCUAUUUAUUACUUACCUUUAGAAGUAAUUUACUUUAAACAUUUUAAAUCUACUGUGAUUUUAUUACUAUUGAAAAUAUUGUACUCUAUAAAAUCUGCUUAUGGUUGCAAGUUCUAUAUGGAGUAUUACUAAUUUGAUUUCUUAUUGUUGGACCGAGGAUGAGGAGCUGUAAACAACAGAAUUUAAACCAUGAAAAAGCAUGUUGUGUUAUAUUAAGAGGAGAUGAUUCAGGUGUGGAUGCAUUACAUAUUUAUGCUAGGCAAUUGAAAAGGAAGGUUGAAGGAGGAGAGAAUAUCUACAAAGUCCAGUUAGCAUGUGUCUUCAUUCCCUUGUAUUCACCAAUUAUUUAGUCUGAAGAAUUACAUGUCCCCUGCUUGGAAGUGUGAGAUGAAGCCAUUGAAAAAGAAAAAGGCCUCAUGAGCAAGAAGCUUUCAAAGAUUUAUAAGAAUAAGGAUCGUAUGAGAUUACAAUUAGCCAUCCUAUGAGGUGAUGAAGAGAGCUAUACAAAAUUUGGAUGCUUGUAAUUAAUAAAGAGAAAGCAUUGGACAAAUGUUACAAUUUGUAUUUUAUUGGACUUGUUAGACAUUAUAUUCUAAGCAUGAGUACUUUUAUUAUGGUAUAUUUUUUACUUAAUUUUUUUUAUUUGGGACACAUGUAUUGGAUAUUUUGGUUAAUACAAGAAAAUACAUUAGACUUG